rnacentral:rRNA from 1 species
CCUUGAGUUCGGGCCGCACGCGCGCUACACUGACUGAGCCAGCGAGUUUAUCACCUUAGCUGAGAAGCUUGGGUAAUCUUGUGAAACUCAGUCGUGCUGGGGAUAGAGCAUUGCAAUUAUUGCUCUUCAACGAGGAAUACCUAGUAAGCGUGAGUCAUCAGCUCGCGUUGAUUACGUCCCUGCCCUUUGUACACACCGCCCGUCGCUACUACCGAUUGAAUGGCUUAGUGAGAUCUCCGGAUUGGCGUUAGGGAGCCGGCAACGGCACCCUUUGGCCGAGAAGUUGAUCAAACUUGGUCAUUUAGAGGAAGUAAAAGUCGUAACAAGGUUUCCGUAGGUGAACCUGCGGAAGGAUCAUUAUUAAAUGUUGCUUCGGUAACUUUAUAAUCCCUUAACACCUGUGCAUUUUGUCGCUCCGGCGAUAUCAUACAAACAUCAGUGUAAUGAAUGUAAAUUAUUAUAACAAAUACAACUUUCAACAACGGAUCUCUUGGCUCUCGCAUCGAUGAAGAACGCAGCGAAAUGCGAUAAGUAAUGGGGAAUUGCAGAAUUCAGUGGAUCAUCGAAUCUUUGAACGCACAUUGCGCCUUUUGGUAUUCCGAAAGGCAUGCCUGUUUGAGUGUCAUAAGACCUCUCAUACCUAGUUUUCUAUGUAUGACUUUGGAUGUUGCCAUUCGUGGCUCGUCUUAAAUGUCUAAGUGGAAUGCGUAAUAAGUUUUCGCUCCCUCCACUCUAAUAACUUUUAUGUUAGACCUCAAAUCAGGUAGGACUACCCGCUGACUUAAGCAUAUCAUAAGCGGAGGAAAAGAACUAACAGGGAUUCCCCUAAUAACGGCGAGCGAACCCGGGAAAGCUCAAAUUUAAAUCUGGGGUCUUUCAGGGGUCCGAAUUGUAAUCUACAAAAAGGUUUUCCGGGCCGGAACGGGCCAAUCCCUUGGGAAAGGGGUUCAAAAAGGGGGAAAUCCCUAUUUGAACCACUACCGGGCUU